rnacentral:rRNA from 1 species
AUGAGUGUUAUCAGUUGGAACUGCCGGGGGCUUGGGAACCCCGAGGCAGUUCGGGAGCUUCGCAGCAUCGUGAAGCAAGAAGGGCCUACCUUACUCUUUGUCAUGGAAACAAAGAUAAGGGCAGCAAGGGUGGAGAACCUGAAGUUCACUUUGGGUUUCGAGGGUUGUUUUGCAGUAAACAGUGUUGGUUUAAGCGGAGGCAUCGGAUUGUUUUGGUCAAGAGAUGUCUCAGUUGAACUUAAAAACUUUAGUUCUGGCCACAUCGAUGCAGUGGUGCGGAAGAAAGAUCAAAACUCUUUUGAGUGGAGAUUUACAGGGUUCUAUGGCGCUCCAAGAGUCGAAGACAGGAAGCACAGUUGGCGGUUCCUUCGUACUCUGCACACCAUUCCUCACAAUGCAUGGUUAUGCGUUGGUGAUUUCAACGAAACGCUCUAUGGAGAAGAGCACUAUAGUCGUUCACCUCGUCCAGAGGGGUAG